UUGACAAUGAUAACCCAAAAGAUGCCUUCUGUUUGGUGUGUAGACAACCAUCUCCAGAUUAGGAUCGUCCUUUUAGCCCAAAAAGAAGUUUCCAGCCCUCUAGAGAUAAUUCCUCGCCUCCUUAUUAGCCUCCAUCUCUAUCUUCUUCCUUUUAUUUUCCCUUUCUUUCAAACCGUUCCAUUUUUCUCCCUUACCUCUUUGUUCAUCAAACCCUGCUCUCUCUCUGUUUCUCUGGUCUCUCUUCUUCGUUCGAUACUAUGGAUUGAUAAAAUAUUUUGAUACACAAUGGAUAUACCGUUGAAGGAAGUCUGAGGGGUUUUUGAGGGUUGGUUUUGAUAGUUGAAAAUGGUGACUUUAAACCCAUUUGAUUUACUGGGAGAUGAUGACACUGAAGACCCAUCAUAGCUGAUUGCUGCUCAGAAGGUUCCUGUGGCCGUAGCUAAGAAAACCCAGCUCCUGCAGCAGCUCAGCAGCAGCAAUCCAAGCCGACGGCUAAGCUUCCUUCGAAGCCGCUCCCCCCAGCUCAAGCUGGUUAGCUUUCCUUUUUCCUUUCUCCAUCCUUUUUUUAUUUCUUCCCUUUUGAGUAUCUUAUUUGUUUUGCACACUUUUGUAUUGAAGCUUUAAUGGGCGUUAGGGUUUUUUGUACUUCAAUGGUAUUUAGUGAGAAAGCAACAAGUAAAAAUGGUAACAGUUCUCUUUAGAAUUUGAGAUGGAUGAGUUUUUUUUUUUUAAGAUAAUUAUUGGCUGUUGAGUUGAUAAACUUGAUAUGAAAUGCAAAGGAACAAAUAAAAAUUUGAAUUUUGCUCUAAUUUGUACACGUUAUGUUUGGCUACCGUUGAUUUUUUUUCUCCUUCUUUUUUAUUUACUUUUGUCAAAAUUGAGCAUUUGUCCUCCAGGAGAUACCCGUUAGUAUUUGUUUUAACACAGGUUUUUGUCUUGUUUAACAUAAGCGCUAUUUAAGAUUGUGAAAACUUCAAUUAUGUUGGAAGAUUGCUAUGCGCUCCAGUGGUGACUUUUUUUUCGAUUUGCAGCACUCUCGAUUUUCAAGUAAAAGGUUGCCGCUGAAGCUCAAGUCCAUGCAGCUGCUACUGUCUUUCUUGUACCAUUUUUGGAUAGGAAGGGAAAUUUCCUGAGGUCAUGCAAGCUGCACAACCCUGUUAAUGUGCCAGAUUAUCACUCUAUAGACAGAAGCUCAGCUAAAAGGACAUUACAGAUGUAACUAACAAAGACUUCGAUGCAAAAAAAAAAGAUUGGAAAUGAUUCAGAUAGGUUGUCUUCAAUUGAGUCAAAAAGUGCAUUGGUUGGGAAUGAGCCAAAAAAAUGAAGGGUUAUUGUCUGCUACAUCCUCCUCACAUGGCAAGCUGCUGAAGAUUGUAAUGCAAAAAUACAUAAGGAGCUAUCCAAAUGACUAAAAGCCUUUUUAGUGAUAGCCUCUGGAGACCCAAAUUUUCUUCAUAGUGUUUCACUCAGAAAUGCAACGUAAUCUCUGAUGUUUGCUUGUAAGAGAGGUGCUGCACGUUUAUUUGAAGAGUAUAGUGCUCAAACUCGCUCAAAUGAUGAAUAAUGAUAGUGGUGUUUCUGACACAUUACAUUCAUUAUUCAGAGUUUGAAGACUACUGGACCUGUAGGCUUUAAAAGUCCUGUUCACAAUUUUCUUGGAAGAAUUGGCUGCAAGAAGCAUUUGACAAGAUGUCUACCUCUGGCAAAGCUUUAGAACCUGCAUUUCAGAGAGCUGGUCGGAGAGUAGGGACAGAGAUUUGGAGAAUUGAAAACUUCCAACCAGUUCCUAUGCCAAAAUCUGAUCAUCAUAAAUUCUACUCGGGUGAUUCAUACACUAUCUUGCAGACAUCAAUUGCCAAGGAAGCAGCAUAUUUAUCCGAUAUACAUUUCUGGCUUGGAAAGGAUACCAGCCAGGCAUCAUCUGUCUCUCUUUAAUUGUGUAAAACCAUUUUUGAGAAGGCAUCUAAGUUCAUUCUGAAACUUUGGUAUAUGAUGAGGCUGGAACCGCGGCUAUCAAAACUGCUAAAUUUAGCCUCUCCACUACCAGCUUAGUGACCCUUCCAUUUUUGCAUUCUUUGACUCCUUGCCAGCAGCAUAUAUUAUUGUUGGAAUGGCUUUAUCAAAACGGCUGCUAUUGAUGUUGAACAUUAGAGGAAAAGAUUGCUGCAAUGGCUUACGCCAUAUUUUUUUGUACGUGUAAGUAGGAUGCUUUGCUGUUCCUGCCAAACAACUUUUAUGUAGCACUGCAGUGGCUUCAGCAAUAAAUUUUGAAUCAGCCAUGCUGCUGUAUAUGUAAAUGCUACACUUGGCUCUUUCUUUUGAACGACUACCAAACAAUUCUUGUACGAUACUCCAAUGACUUUAUCCUUUUGAAUUAUAGCAUCGUAUCAAGACAUUGCUUUUGCAUGC